ACACAAGCGGCUUCCAGGGGAAGUUUGGGUCCAAAACCCUAAAAAUAGAAAAAAGAGCGGCACCCAUUGGCGUUCUUAUAUUGAUUUUGUAACCAGUUCCUUUCCGCUCCAUCAUCUUCCAUCUCUCUCUCUUCACCCACCAUUCCAUUCCAUGGCUGUGCUCAGGUCCAGCGGAAUACUCCCAACUGUACCCUCAAACAACAAAGGGACCACAUCCGAACCUGUCACUCCCUCUCGAACUCGCGAACCUUCCACUCACCAAUCCCCUCCCACCCCCAACCCCCCCGGUGUUUCCCUUCUGGGCUCUGACUCUGCCCCUCCACGCAGGCGGAGCCUCCGUCUCGCUUCGAAGUCACUUUCUUCUGCCGAUGCCUCCCUCCAAACUCCAACCCGCGAGAGGAAGAAGGGGAGUGAUGGUAAACAAGGUCGGCUUGUUAGUGAAGGUGAUGUGGUUGAGAAAAUGACCGAACGAGAUGUUGGAGGUGAAGUAUUGAGGGUUUUAAGUUUGAGGUCUGGGAAAAAGGUUGUUGAUAAUCGUAAUAUUGAAAUUGAAGGUGAAGAGGUCAAGGGUUCGAGUGUUAUGCGUACAAAAGGGAAGGGGAAGGGAAGGGGAAGGGGUAAUUUGGGUAAGAAAGUGUUAAAUUUGGAUGUUCAAGAGGAGUUUGUGGAAAUUUUUAAUGAUAACGCGGUCGAGAGAAGCGACAAUUUGGAGGAGAAGUUGAGUGAUUCGUCAAGGGGAAAGAGGAAAUGUACAGGGGAAGUAAAAAUGGAGAGAGGUGAAGAGGGUGGUGUUGCUGUGGAGGACCUGGGGAAAAGCCCUAGUGCCGAUGUGAGUGGGACUUCAACUAGAGGAAGGAGGAAAUAUAACAGAGAAGUGAAAGUGGGGGCAGUUAAAGAGGGCGUUGUCGAGGGGUUGAAGGAAAACCCAUGUACAGAUGAGAAUGGCUCUUCAAGGAGAGGGAGGAGGUAUGGUAGAGAGGGAAAAGAGAAGAGAAGUAAAGAGGGUGCUGUUGUUAUUGAGGAAUUAGGGGAAAAACCAGUUGCUCUUGAGGGUGGAAGUUCAAGGGGAAGGAUGAGGUAUAGCAGAGAAGAGAAAGGGAAGGGGAAAUUGGUUGUUGAUGAUGGUUUGAUAUCAAAUGGAAAGGAUAUGUUGCAAUUAGAACCCAGAGUUAAGAAUCUGGUUGAUGGUUUGGCAGAGAGUGUGGUUCUGGAAGAGAGAAAGGAGGGUGCGAGUACGAGAAGUAAAGUGCCUGAAUCAAGAAUGGAGAAAUUUCGUGAUAUAGCAAGGCAAAAUGCUUCUCGAUUUGCUCAUUUUGAAGUUCAGGAGCAUGAGACAGACCAUCAUGACGUAGAAAUGCCAUCUGUGGAAGAAGAGCAGGACAAAGUUGAAGACUGGCCUGGUCCUUUCUCUACUGCUAUGAAGAUUAUCAGGGAUAGAGCAAAUAGGCUUAACUUGCAACAGAGGGGCUCCACUUCAGAGAAGGAAAAACCUGUGCCAAUAACUUGGAUGCCAAAAACUGAUCGGGCGUGUAAGCGUUCAAAAGGAUCGGUUCCUUCUCUGCAAGAAUUAUGCAUGAAAAUUCUAGUGAAGAAUGCCGAUGCAAUUGCUUCGCUUGAACAUGUCCCAGAUACUUUGAGGCAUAGGCUAUGCCAAUUGCUCUGUGAUUCUCGGAGAAUGAAUGCUCAUUUUUUGGCUCUUCUUGUCCGCGGAUCACCUAUGGAGAUACGUAUUAGGGAUUGUUCGUGGCUAGCAGAGGAAGAGUUCACAAACAUUUUUGAGGUGUGCGACUCACGCAAUUUAACGGUUCUACAACUUGACCAAUGUGGACGCUGCAUGGCAGAUUAUACUUUACUUGCUACUUUAGCUCGGUCACCAGGUAGCUUGCCUAGGUUAACUACUUUAUCCAUCAGUGGAGCAUGCCGACUCUCAGAUGCUGCACUUAGUUCACUUGUUUCUUCUGCCCCUGCCCUACAAUCUUUAAAUCUCAGUCAGUGCUCCCUUCUUACCUCUGCCAGUAUUGAUACCUUAGCUGAUUCGUUGGCAACAAGUUUGCGGGAACUGUACAUUAAUGAUUGCCAAAGCAUUCAACCCAUGCUCAUUUUGCCAGCACUGAAGAAACUAGAACAUUUAGAAGUGUUGUCCCUGUCUGGAAUUCAAACCAUUAAUGAUAAUUUUUUGAGGGGAUUUAUCGUUGCACGCGGCCAUAAUAUAAAGGAGCUUGUUUUGACUGAUUGUGUGAAAUUGACUGAUUCUUCCAUGAAAGUCAUAGCUGAAACCUGCUCUAAAUUAUGUGCACUUGAUCUUGGUAACUUGAGGAAAUUGACAGAUUCUGCUUUGGGAUUUCUUGCAAAUGCUUGCCGAGAAAUCCAUACUUUGAAACUCUGCCGCAAUGCAUUCAGUGAUGAAGCUAUUGCUGCAUUUUUGGAAUCUUCUGGAGAGCUUUUAAAAGAACUUUCACUGAAUAAUGUUAAGAAGGUUGGCCACUGUACAGCAUUAUCUCUUGCUAGACGUUCAAGAAAGUUGCUAAGUUUGGAUUUGUCAUGGUGUCGGAACUUAACAAAUGAGGCUCUGGGUUUGAUUGUGGAUAGUUGUUUAUCAUUGAAGGUGCUUAAACUUUUUGGAUGCAGUCAGGUUACAAAUGUUUUUUUAGAUGGUCACUCAAAUUCAGAUGUACAAAUUAUUGGCUUGAAGACGUCUCCUGUACUGGAACAUAUCAUGGUUCCUGAACUGCAAGAAUUUGCAUUGCGUUAUUCCUCAGUGUCUUCUAUCUGAAGUAUGUGUUAUAGUUAUGAGGGUGGAAUGAACAUCAGUAGCGGCCAGGGAAACUUUUGGAGUUCAGCCCAUUAUCAAUACCUGAAGAUAGGACUUUUGAGAUGCUUUAACCAAGAAAAGAAGACAUGAUUAUUGGGCUGUGCAUACAAGUAGAUUGGACUGAUUAACAUUAUUGACCCUCUAUGGUUGAUGCCUGCAGCCGUCAUCAAGUAGCCUUUUUAGCACGGCUCAUUUUUAAAUGAGUUGUCGAACAGUUCUCCAUCCAGUAAACUAAAUAUACAGGCAAAAUUAUGUCCUGCAAAAAUGGUAUCCAGCUUGCUAGAAAAAAAGGUUAUGCAAACUAGAAAUACAAAAGGGUUUUAACCACAAAAGUUAGGAAUGAUGAUCGGUCAAUGGGUUUACUGCUUUCCUAUGUAGAUUGAUUUCUUAAAAUCUUCCAAAAAGAGGAUUAAGAACAUUUUUGGUACUCUUAGUUUUAACUUGUUUUGUGGCUUUUACUGGAUCAUUGGCCCGCCACCACCUUGCAAGGAGUUUUUGAUUUAGCUACAGUUGGGGGAUUUGUACUUGAAAGGAGAUGAUGGAUAAAUUGUCACAAAAAACUUCAGCGUGCUCAGCACAAGAUGAAACAAAUUUCAGAUAAAGGAAGAACUGAGAGAGAGUUUUUAGUGGAGGAUUAUGUGUAUUAGAAAUAGCAACCCUGCAGGCAAGGAACUGUAGCUUUGAGGAAGAAU